rnacentral:rRNA from 1 species
GAUGAACGCUGGCGGCGUGCUUAACACAUGCAAGUCGAACGAAGCACUGAGGAAUGAUUCUUCGGAUGAAAGCCUCUUUGACUGAGUGGCGGACGGGUGAGUAACGCGUGGGUAACCUGCCUCACACAGGGGGAUAACAGUUGGAAACGACCGCUAAUACCGCAUAACCCGCUGGUACCGCAUGGUACUGACGGAAAAGAUUAUAUCGGUGUGAGAUGGACCCGCGUCUGAUUAGCCAGUUGGCAGGGUAACGGCCUACCAAAGCGACGAUCAGUAGCCGGCCUGAGAGGGUGAACGGCCACAUUGGGACUGAGACACGGCCCAA